AUUGAACGCUGGCGGCAGGCCUAACACAUGCAAGUCGAGCGGAUGAAGGGAGCUUGCUCCUGGAUUCAGCGGCGGACGGGUGAGUAAUGCCUAGGAAUCUGCCUGGUAGUGGGGGAUAACGUCCGGAAACGGGCGCUAAUCCCGCAUACGUCCUGAGGGAGAAAGUGGGGGAUCUUCGGACCUCACGCUAUCAGAUGAGCCUAGGUCGGAUUAGCUAGUUGGUGGGGUAAAGGCCUACCAAGGCGACGAUCCGUAACUGGUCUGAGAGGAUGAUCAGUCACACUGGAACUGAGACACGGUCCAGACUCCUACGGGAGGCAGCAGUGGGGAAUAUUGGACAAUGGGCGAAAGCCUGAUCCAGCCAUGCCGCGUGUGUGAAGAAGGUCUUCGGAUUGUAAAGCACUUUAAGUUGGGAGGAAGGGCAGUAAGUUAAUACCCUGCUGUUUUGACGUUACCAACAGAAUAAGCACCGGCUAACUUCGUG
rnacentral:rRNA from 1 species